rnacentral:rRNA from 1 species
UGGCGGACGGGUGAGUAACGCGUGGGAAUCUGCCCUCAGGAGGGGGAUAACGACUGGAAACGGUCGCUAAUACCCCAUAUGCCGAGAGGUGAAAUGAAUUUCGCCUGAGGAUGAGCCCGCGUCUGAUUAGCUAGUUGGUGGGGUAAGAGCUCACCAAGGCGACGAUCAGUAGCUGGUCUGAGAGGAUGAUCAGCCACACUGGGACUGAGACACGGCCCAG